AGUAACACGUGGAUAGCCUACCUAUAAGACUGGGAUAACUUCGGGAAACCGUAGCUAAUACCGGAUAAUAUUUUGAACCGCAUGGUUCAAAAGUGAAAGACGGUCUUGCUGUCACUUAUAGAUGGAUCCGCGCUGCAUUAGCUAGUUGGUAAGGUAACGGCUUACCAAGGCAACGAUGCAUAGCCGACCUGAGAGGGUGAUCGGCCACACUGGAACUGAGACACGGUCCAG
rnacentral:rRNA from 1 species